UACGUAGGGUGCAAGCGUUAAUCGGAAUUACUGGGCGUAAAGCGUGCGCAGGCGGUUUUGUAAGUCUGUCGUGAAAUCCCCGGGCUCAACCUGGGAAUUGCGAUGGAGACUGCAAGGCUUGAAUCUGGCAGAGGGGGGUAGAAUUCCACGUGUAGCAGUGAAAUGCGUAGAGAUGUGGAGGAACACCGAUGGCGAAGGCAGCCCCCUGGGUCGAGAUUGACGCUCAUGCACGAAAGCGUGGGGAGCAAACAGG
rnacentral:rRNA from 1 species